UUCUUCUUUGCUGUUUUCAGUGAGUGUUUUGUUUUCUCUUUGUCCUUGAUCUCGACGAUGUUGUCGUGCUCAUUACCUUACUGAGACGUCUCUUGUGACUGUAGCCAGUGUCACGGAGGUUUUUAUUGGCGUGACAAGGUAGAUCGCCGAGAUCGAGCGUGAAAAACGCCCUGCAUUAGUAGCUCCUGUGGAAUGUUUUCUGAGUUGGCGUAUCCAUGGUCAACAAAACAAAGGUGCAAGACAGCAUGAGAGAUCGUGUAAACGAUGUGAACUCCAAAAGAUAAUCUGGCCAAAUUUAUUGUAACUCAGAGAGAGUGCAAUCGUGCUUGGGGCCCAUCCCAAUGUCAUCACAUGGCUGUGGUGACUAGUGUAUAUCUGGGAGAAUUUUUCCUCGACUGAUACGGAGUGCAGGUGGAUCGAUUAUGAGAAAUGCGAACAUGUGAAGUUCAAGGCUAGAUGCACUUCACAUUCGGCGUGCGAUCUCAGCGUCUGGGACCUGAUGAAGUCUUGGUUGGAUGAUUAUUCAAGCCUGAUACUACUCGACACACCAAUGUUCAUGUCAAUGUAAUUU